rnacentral:rRNA from 1 species
CAGGCCUAACACAUGCAAGUCGAGGGGCAUCACAUGAAGUAGCAAUACGGAUGGUGGCGACCGGCGCACGGGUGAGUAACACGUAUGCAACCUGCCUUCAACAAGGGGAUAACCCGUUGAAAGACGGACUAAUACCCUAUAACACAGGGGCCCCGCAUGGGGAUAUUUGUUAAAGAUUAAUCGGUUGAAGAUGGGCAUGCGUUCCAUUAGCUUGUUGGUGGGGUAAGGGCCCACCAAGGCAACGAUGGAUAGGGGAACUGAGAGGUUUAUCCCCCACACUGGUACUGAGACACGGACCAGACUCCUACGGGAGGCAGCAGUGAGGAAUAUUGGUCAAUGGACGCAAGUCUGAACCAGCCACGUCGCGUGAAGGAAGACGGCCCUACGGGUUGUAAACUUCUUUU